rnacentral:piRNA from 1 species
CGUUUUGGUGACUCCUCUUAUG